ACGGAGGGGGCUAGCGUUGUUCGGAAUUACUGGGCGUAAAGCGCGCGUAGGCGGAUUAGUAAGUUAGGGGUGAAAUCCCACGGCUCAACCGUGGAACUGCCUUUAAUACUGCUAGUCUUGAGUUCGAGAGAGGUGAGUGGAAUUCCGAGUGUAGAGGUGAAAUUCGUAGAUAUUCGGAGGAACACCAGUGGCGAAGGCGGCUCACUGGCUCGAUACUGACGCUGAGGUGCGAAAGCGUGGGGAGCAAACAGG
rnacentral:rRNA from 1 species